rnacentral:lncRNA from 1 species
AUGCUGACUUUUCACCCACCGCAACAGAAAGCACCAUCCCCACCACCCCCACUCCGGGGCAGGUUUUGCUUUUUAUUUCUCAUCUUCAACCCCCAAACCAUUGGUUGGUUCAGAUCGCCGUGCAGCUGGAGGGCAGGAAGUGUGUUUAGAGGAAAGGGGUGGGAAAGGGGUGAGAAGCGGGGACCCGAGACACCCCGAAACUGCUGGGGCGGGGUGGCGGAGGGAGCCGGCAACCUGCAGGGCGCCGCGGACCGGAGCUCUCGCUGCCACCGCGUCCGCAGCUCUGCCGGCCGCCGGGAACCCGCGGCUCCUUCCAUUGUUGCACCUCGGCUGUUGCCAUGUUGGAGGGAGAGCCCCUUGACCUCCGCUCCCUCCGCUCGGCGGGCAAUCUGCAGACCCCGGGCGGCGGCUCCCGGCCGGAUGCGCGUCCUACCUGUGCUCGCUGCGGGCUUCCCUGCGAGACCCGACGUGUCGCGUGCUCGGCGACGUGGGCUGCCGGCCCCGCAGCUCCAGGCGUCCCCGCGCCCGCGCGCGCCGCUCCCCUCUCCGCGAGCCACGAGCGCCGGCCCGGGUGUGGGGGGGGGGGGAGGGGGGAGGAGGGAGCCGGAGGCUGGCGGGGAGGCAGCGGAGGACGCGGGACCGGCUCCGGGGGGCGCGGGGGAAGCCCUCCGGACCACGAGCGUGCGCGAGCCCGCAGAGUCAGGCCACCCCGGGCGAGACAAUAGCGGGAGCAGCGGGCGGGAGCGGAGAAGCCAUCUCCCGGAGACCCGGCGCACUGCACGGCGACGCGAGGCGCGGCCAGCCCCGGCCUGGACAGGCAGCCGCCCGGCCGCCCGCUCCAGCCCGCAGCGCCGAGUCGGCGGCGAGCGCGAGGGCGGGGCGGGCCCCGGAACCCUGACCGCCCUCCACCUCUCGCUCCCGCCUCCCGCCUCCCUCCCUCCUUUCCCUCCCGGCGGGGGCGCGGGGGCGAGCUGCGCGCUGGCGUCCGAUUGUGCUCGGGAACCCGACUGCCCGCGCCGCCGCUUCCCGCCCGGGGGAGGAUUCUGCGGAUGGUCGUUACUUCUCCCUGCGGGGGCCCCUUUGCUCCGGGUGGGAUGCACGCCAGGUCCUUCGGCUGAAAACGAACCACUUAGCGGUUCGAGGACAUCCCCCCUCCGCCCCCAUCUUUAUCAGGAUUGCGACGCCCGCCAAAGUCCCUACCUUGAGGGCGGCGGAGGGGGAGCUGUCACCGCGCUGUGCGCUCAGCCUCGUUGGGUUUUCUGUUCGCCCAAGUGGGUCGUCCCACCUGAACCCCAGAGAAUAGCAACCCUUAGUAGGGGUGGGGGAGGUAGAGCGGCCUCCACCCGAACUAUGGUAGGGAAAAAACCCCGCUUCUUUCAAUUCAGUAGGUCAUGUUUAACAUUUUUACUCCGAGCGCCUUUCUUUGAGCAGUGGUCUCUAGAAGAAUUUUCCUAA